GGAGUUCGGCUCGACGUACGGUAAUUUGAUAUCGGAUAAACGUUCCUGUCGUCGGCACGACCGACGUGGGCCUCUGAAGGCACACGCACGUCGAGCCUGGUUGCACGUCCAGCGGAAAGCGCAUUAACCCGCGAAAAGGACGCGUACGCGGACGGGAAAUGCUCGGCCGGAUUUAUCUGCCGACUCGUCGUCGCUCUCUCCCCCCUCGAUAAAAGCCCGGCGACUAAAAGUCAGAAUUUUUUAUAGCCGCUCUAGAUAAACUCCCCGCGGAAUGGCAUUCGCGGAAAUUUAAUUACUUACCGCGGGGCAGAUUAACGCCGAUGCGAAAUCUAGAUAAUGUAUUUAGGAAAAGUUGAUAUCGCGCCGGGGAGCGACUGAAAUAUACGAUGAUAAUUACGAGGACGGGAGUGACGCCGCCAUCUCCGUUAUUAUUUCCAGUUGGCAGCUUCGGUGAUCCCGAUUAUACUCGAGGUUCAUUUCAAGUUCAGCGCCAGCGGAAAAUGCAGUUUUCAAAGAGAUUGCAGAUUAUCUGCGCGACAUUGCAUAAAAGGACUCGUGGAGAAAAACUUAAUUUAGCUCAGUCGUUGUCAGCACGUGAAUAGGCGAACGAACGUGUGCGCGCGCGCCAAUGUGCAGGUAAUCAUUCUAUCUGUCCGUUCGCAGUUAAUACAAAUUUCUGAGGAAAUCCCUGUUAAUCGGCCGACUCAUUUUAUAAUCUGCAGACCUUAUGGUCUGUCGCCAUUAUCGAGAGAGAAAGAGAGAGAGAGAGAGAGAGAAACAGUUAAUGAUGGCAAAAAUCUUUCACAAAUCGGACGAGACAGGAAAUCAAGAGACACGCUCUCGCUUGAUUUUCUUCGUGCCUUAUUAUUUUCUGUAGUCCCUAACUUUUAAUCGAUUAAGAGUUCAAUCUACCUUUUUUUUUGUUUCCUCGAAUAUGAUUAAAUGAAAUUGGAUGUUCGUCCGAGCUGUGUCUCCGAUAGCGAAUACGAAAUUCGGGAUUGAUCGUUCGAAUCGCGUUCUUCUUUUCAAUAAUAACUGAUUUUUUUCCUGAGAAAAUUGCUCUUCAGACAGAUUGAUAUAAAAUCUCGUAAUCUAACUGAUAAGAAUAUUACAGUAUUUUAACGUUUAAAUCUCAUCUAAAAUUAAUAGUUAAUAACGGUGGAAAAAAAAACUUGCAAAUUGUGCAAGACGGAGGUCGGAGAGUGACGUCGAGACGUCUUCCACACUCUUUUUGCAAUAUAGCGUACGUUAUUUUGUCAAAGCCGAGAAGAUGAGCGAGCUCCCUCGUAACCGGCAAAUUGCUUUAAAUGCCAAAUUGAAAUUUCUUAGCACCGCGUAAGCUUACAUUAGCUGCUCGGUCCCGUUGCCUGAAUACCUGAGAAGUAUGGCGCGUCACUUAGCUGCAAUACGGCUGGUACUCUAGGCUCGGAAGCCGAAACUGAGAGCCGGUCACGUAAUUCCUCGCCGGCAAACUUGCCGCAUUAUCCGUUGCAUUACGUUCGGCAGCCAGAGGCGUUAGCUUCCAGCCGGCGGACAUUAGGUUUAUGCAAGCUAAGAGAGUCGACAAGAAGCACGCAACGAUCUAAAUCAACAGCGACAUGUUUACAGCGGGAAGUCGCACAGUUUACGAUAUGCAUUUCAAAAGAGACAUACAUUGGCAUUGGCUUAUCUUAACGUUAUUUUCGCAUAAAUUGGUAAAAAAUACAAAUUGCCAAUAAAAUCGAAACUUCAAUAUGCGAUAAAUAGAAGAAACUAAAUUGUUAAACGCAUUAAGUACCAAUAAUAGCGAUGUACCCACAUCCAUCAAGUCAAAAGUAAAAAAAGCUUUAAGAUUCAUUGCUAUUACGAAUAGUAAUUUAUAAAAUGAUGAUGUUCAAAUAUAUCGAUAAAAGCUAUUUUGGAUAUAAUAAAAAACGGAUCUUUCUAAAGAGAUUGACUUGAUAUUAAACAGAAUAAUUAUAA